rnacentral:rRNA from 1 species
UGGGGAAUUUUCCGCAAUGGGGGGAACCCUGACGGAGCAACGCCGCGUGCGGGAGGACGGCCUGUGGGUUGUAAACCGCUUUUCUCUAGGAAGAAGGUCUGACGGUACUAGAGGAAUCAGCAUCGGCUAACUCCGUGCCAGCAGCCGCGGUAAGACGGAGGAUGCAAGCGUUAUCCGGAAUUAUUGGGCGUAAAGCGCACGCAGGUGGUAGCGCAAGUGGGGUGUGAAAGCCGCCAGCUCAACUGGCGGAGGCCACCCCAAACUGCGUCACUUGAGGCCUGUAGAGGUAUGUGGAAUUGCCGGUGUAGUGGUGAAAUGCGUAGAGAUCGGCAGGAACACCCAGGGGGAAGCCGGCAUACUGGACAGGUCCUGACACUCAGGUGCGACAGCGUGGGGAGCGAACCGGAUUAGAUACCCCUGUAGUCC